rnacentral:tRNA from 1 species
GGCCUUGUAGUAUAACGGUUAUUACAUAGGAUUGCAAAUUCUUUAAUUUCAGUUCAAUUCUGAGUGAGGCUUC